UCAGGAUGAACGCUGGCGGCGUGCCUAACACAUGCAAGUCGAACGGGACUAUCAAGUGAUGUUUCGGACUGAACUUUUAGUUAGUGGCGGACGGGUGAGUAACGCGUGGACAACCUGCCUCUCACUGGGGGAUAGCAGCUGGAAACGGCUGGUAAUACCGCAUGCGUUCAAUGUGCCGCAUGACACAUUGAAGAAAGAUUUAUCGGUGAGAGAUGGGUCCGCGUCUGAUUAGCCAGUUGGCGGGGUAACGGCCCACCAAAGCGACGAUCAGUAGCCGGCCUGAGAGGGCGGACGGCCACAUUGGGACUGAGACACGGCCCAGACUCCUACGGGAGGCAGCAGUGGGGGAUAUUGCACAAUGGGCGCAAGCCUGAUGCAAGCGACGCCGCGUGAGUGAAGAAGGUUUUCGGAUCGUAAACCUCUGUCCUAUGUGAAGAGGAAGAGACGGUAGCAUAGGAGGAAGCCCCGGCUAACUACGUGCCAGCCGCAGC
rnacentral:rRNA from 1 species